AUGUCUGAAGUUUCUGAAUCCCACUGUAAGUGUGAACCAUUCAUAGGGAAGGCAGCUCAGGUGUCCAGACCCUGUUGGCAAAACACUUCCUUCAGCUUCCCAGGAACCUGGGCUUGUUGGAGACUGGUGUAUGUUUGCCUGGGUAGGUGUGUAGACAGUAACAGGCAUUGGUUGGGUUGGAAGGCUCAGAUGAAACACCAUAAAAACAUGGUCAGCUUCAUUUUAUUUCUGCCUUCUGAAUGUAUAGCUGGGAAUAAUAUGUACUUUGGAGUUGUGCUUUUGGCUUGGUUUUCUGCUUGUUUGUUCGGAUUCUUUCAGCUGAGGAAAAUAGCAUUUGUAAAGUGCAGAUACAUUUUGAAAAACCACAAUAAAAUGAAAGAAAAUAACAAUAAUUACAAAGACUGACUAAAAGUCAAAGAUAGAGUUGAUCAAAGUCAUCACCCAAACUUGCUCUGUACUUUUCCUGUGGUGCGUCACAGCUCCUCAAACUGCUGGUCCUGUUUCCUUAACUGUCUUUCUCCAUGUCUCUGUCUUUUUGUAGAAGUCCUGAGCCCAUAGCUGCAUGAAGAAAUAAUGUACAGACAAACUUUACAAAUUCAUAUUAAACCCAAGGUUCAUUUUAGUCUGUAGUUAGUCUGAGGUAAUCAGACUGAAAGCAUAAAACCUCUUUUUUUUUUUUUUUUUCUCAGACUUCUCUUACAGUGCCAUUUUGAGGAUCCUGGAAUUUUUACCAUUUUUAGACUUCUUUGACGGUGAUUCCAGGAAAAAAUGACAAGUAUGAAAUUAUUGAGAAACUGUAGACUCUGCAUCAUUGGCCCAAGGGAUAUGACUAGAGGCUCAUAGGAAUAAUUUAGCAGCUAGUACAAAAAGGUCUACUUAGAGAUGUUCAGACUUUGGUACAUGGGAUUUGGGUUAUGUUUGAAGCGGUUGUUGGGUGCACAAUAAGCUUGUGACCAGAUAAUAUUAGCUUUACACUGACCUUUACAUUUUUAAACUUCAUUGAUAAGGAAAUACCAUGAAGAUCUAGCUGUAAAAGGGAGUUUGUGGCCUGCACCAUUCUGAGCAGUAGUCAAGUAGUAGAGCCAGUAAGAUAAUCAUUCUGCCAGUAACAUCUGUGCAAAAGAAAAGAUAUGCAUAAAAACCUUUCACCUCCCUCCAGAGCCAGAAAGCUUGGGAAAGAACAUAAGAACAUCCACACUCGUGCAACACCAGACAGAAGCUGGGGAAGAGAAGAAAAUAUUGGCACAAAGCAUAAAAAUCAAACUAAAGGCUCAGGAAGUAAGAAGUCACAAGUGAAAGCCAGACCUGAUAUAAUGAUACAAAGCCAGGGCUGAUAUAAUGGGGAGAAGAAGCUGUUGAAAUGUGGACUGUCUCUCUGAUGGGAAGGUUGUGCCCUCUCUACCUACAGUUCACUGGAAGAGCCUCUGAUGUUUGCUAAAGGGACCUUACUCCAUUCUGAAUUGUCUUUAUUGUUAGUGGAGUUUUCUUUUGCCCAAUAGAGUGAAAUGUUUCUUAAAAAGAAACAACAACCCAAAACCACAAUAAUAGGAUUUAGAAACAAAACCAAACGAGUUUAUAGUAACAGACUGGCUAUUAACCUUCUUGUACACAGAUUUUUCUCAUUUAUUUUUGGAAUAUGGCACUAAGCUCUAAGAUUUAUUCAAGAGUGCUCUGAGAAACUUACUUUCGCUGUCCUUUAUUAUAGGACACAACGUGUCACAACUCUCUGAUCUUGUUUUCUUUCACUUUCUACCUCAGUUUAAAAGACUUUUUCUUCCUGGCUCCUCUGCAUUGUAUUCCUUGGCUUUUAUAGAAGUUCAGUUUCUGCGUGCCAAACUCUUUUCAAAUAAUGUAACUCAAUCCAUAUGUCCAGUUCAUACAAUUGAAUACAAAUCUCUGGCAGAUGCUCUCUCAAAAUCCAGCCACCACUUCAGCAUUUUUUGUCCCAUGCAUGUUUUAAGAGAUUUUUGCAGCCUUAAGUUUUGGCAACUGGAAAUAAAACAACUUCUUUCCUAUGAUAAAUUUCCUAA
rnacentral:lncRNA from 1 species